UUUUUGAGGAGGAUAUUCUUCUUACACAGAAUAAGCUACAUUUUUGCUUUGAGAAGCCAGGGAUGUUGACAAAGUAGACGAACUACUUCAAGACACUGCAGAACAGCAGGAGUUAGCAGAUGAAAUUUCAAGAGCUAUCUCAAAGCCUGUAGGAACUGUUUGAUGAGUCGAAUGAAGUCAUGGUUGGAUCCUGGAUGAACUAGGAUACUGGACAAAGGACGCUGGAAGAAUUGGACAAUAACUUGCUGGAGAUCAGUGAUCCUGAGAUAGAUC